rnacentral:rRNA from 1 species
UACGGAGGAUGCGAGCGUUAUCCGGAUUUAUUGGGUUUAAAGGGUGCGUAGGCGGGACCUUAAGUCAGCGGUAAAAUUGCGGUGCUCAACGCCGUAGAGCCGUUGAAACUGGGGUUCUUGAGUGAGCGAGAAGUAUGCGGAAUGCGUGGUGUAGCGGUGAAAUGCAUAGAUAUCACGCAGAACCCCGAUUGCGAAGGCAGCAUACCGGCGCUCAACUGACGCUGAGGCACGAAAGUGCGGGUAUCGAACAG